GUGCGUCACAGAAUGGGGCGGGAUGUUCCGCUGGCCACGCCCCUUAAAUAACACUCUGUGAAGCCGUGGUCUUCUUGCGCGGGAUAGGGCACCUGAGGAAGCGGGCUGCGCCUGUGGCACAGUGGUACGGGGCCGGAAGAUAACUUACCUGAAGAGGCGAUCAAUCCCUGAGAAUCGCGGGCGACCCGUUUUUUGUGUGCCCGGGUGCGGGGUGCCGGGACACGGCGUUGAAGGCGCUGAGCGGAGGGAUCUCAGGGCGAGCUCGAGCGGCGACGGCGCGCUCUGUGAUUGCACCGCGAGCGCCUGAGGUGAUCUCGGCCUACAUCGCGUCAGCGGGGCCUUGGGCGUGAGCACCGCCCCCUGUCCGGACGCAGGGUACUGGGGCACCUCGAACUGUGGCACCUCACCCUUCUCCGGGGCCACGUCUUGGGGACUCCGACAGCCCCAAAUAAGCCCUCGGGGACUGGGGUUGUGAAAAGCGAGGUCGUGAAGACGCCGGCCUCAUACCGAAGGGUAGGACGGUGAGGUCAGCCCCGUCCCACUCCAACUAAAAUCAACCUGACAGGUAUUAAUAUGCCACCAUGAAGUUAACAAAUGUUGGUGAUUAAGUAUGCUAGGUUUUACGAAAACAGAUUUUCCAAAAUAAAUGUACAUGUUUUAGGACGUCGCGAGCCGUUUGAGGCAGCAUUCCCCAAGGACGCCACUUAGUCUGUAGGUUUAGCGGCUAGAAAGAUUCAGAAGCUGAGUUCAGUCCUGCCGCCACAAUCAAUCUUCGCUCCUAUGGCUUCACAGAAGCGUCUCCCAUGACUACCAAAUUUAACUCCUUCCAGAUCACCCACGGGAGCACCUGACCGGAUUCAUUUAUUUAAUCAAUGUUAAGAACUAGGUUUUGUGCUAAGCUAGGGGAUAGAGCAGCGAAUGAGACAAAACUGCAAGGCCCUGGGGGAAUUAGUAGGAAUAUCCAGUGAAAGGGAAAUUAAUGAAUUUUAUAAGUAUACUAAUCAAGAAGUAUAUUCUUUUCCUUUGAGGUAGAAUGUAAUAUAGCACCUCCCCUACCCAAGGCCUGGGUUAAGAGUAUAUUAACUGCUUAUUUCUCCCCUAUGCGUGGAGAGGCUUAUCUGUGUUCCAUCGUUUCACAUUCCUUGAGGCACAGCGAGUUCUUGCUUCCCUCCCUAGCGCUGCUGUAAAGUCACAAAACUGAUUAGCAAGUGUUACAAAAGCAUGUAUUCCCAAGGACGUAAGACAUAUGGUGUAACAAAUGUAAGAGUAAUUUACUGCCUUUGUUCUUGCUUCUGCAAGUACACUUCAUGCAACACGUAACUCCCAACACAAACUGCUUAAAAGGUGAUUGAUCCCUUUGUUCGGGGCUCAGACUUUCUGGACCCUAGUCCGACUGAGCCGGUGAUCACCUUAAUAAUAAAGGCUCUCCUGAACUCUGCUCGGUCUCUCCCGUCUAUGAUUUGUCCCGCAACACCAGUUGCCUGCGGAACACCUCUACCUAGAGAGCUAACACUCAUCCCCGGUCAGUAAAUCCAAAACUAAACCCGUUGCCUCCUCCUACCAACCUGUCCCUCCUAUAAUGCCUGUGAAGAAAAGGCAUCACUGUGCACACUGUUGCCCUCUCCAUGCUUCAUCUAAUCAGUCAUCAGAUCCUAUAAUUCUACCACCUUAAAAGUUUCACCGUUUCUCGCGGUGGCUCACGCCUGUAAUCCCUGCACUUUGGGAGGCCGAGGCGGGAGGAUCACCUGAGGUCAAGAGUUCGAGACCAGCCUCACCAACAUGAUGAAACCUCGUCUCUACUAAAAAUACAAAAUAUUAGCCGGACGUGGUGGCAGACGCCUUUAAUCCCAGCUACUCGGGAGGCUGAGGCAGGAGAAUCACUUGAACCUGGGAGGCAAAGGUUGCAGUGAGCCGAGAUUGCGUCACUGUACUCCAGCCUGGGCAACAAGAGCAAAACUCUGUCUCAAAAAAAAAAAAAAAAAAAAGAAAGAAACUGUGAUAUAUAUAAAUAUAUAUUUAUAUAUUUAUAUAUGGAAUGGAAUGCUACGUGGUCACAAAAAGGAAUGAAUGAAUGGCAUUUUCAGCAACCUGGAUGGGAUUGAAGACUAUUAUUCUAAGUGAAGUAACUCAGGAAUGGAAAACAAAACAUCAUAUGUUCUCACUCCUAAGUGAGAGCUAAGCUAUGAGGAUGCAAAGGCAUAAGAAUGACACAAUGGACUAUGGGGACUCAGGGAAAGGGUGGAAGGGGGUGAGGGAUAAAAGAUUACAAAUUGGGUUCAGUGUAUACUACUCGGCGAUGGUUGCACCAAAAUCUCACAAAUCACCACUAAAGAACUUACUCAUGUAACCAAAUACCACAUUUCUUAAAACCCUAUGGAAAUAAAAAAUUAAAAAAGAAAAAAGAACCCAACAGUCUUCUAUUAAGCCAGGUGUAAAAGAGAUUUACAAAAAUCUAAAACUAUGCCAUUCUUCUCACUAAUAUUUUAUUUUUGAAAAUAUAGCUAUAGGCCGGGUGCGGUGGCUUACUCCUGUAAUCCCACCACUUUGGGAGGCCCUGGUGGGUAGAUCACAAGUUCAGGAGUUUGAGACCAGCCUGACCAACAUGGUGAAACACCAUCUCUACUAAAAAUACAAAAAUUAGCCAGGCAUGGUGGCGCGUGCCUGUAAUCCCAGCUACUCAGGAGGCUGAGGCAGGAGAAUCGCUUGAACUCGC
rnacentral:lncRNA from 10 species